AGACAGGAGCACAGUUGGGAGCUGGGUGGAGCUCUGACUCCAGGAACAUUUCUCAGGCUAGAGGUUGUUCCCUUAGCUACCUGCCUCGGGCCAACAACCUGAAAAUGAAUCCUUGUUACAGCUGUGCAUCUGGCCUAUGUGGAUGGAGGCACUGCUGGCAAAUGUGAGAUUUCUGAGGACACAGAUUGGGAAUUCCAGGAUCUGGUCAGAUUGGAAGUGCAAUGGGCUUCAUUUGAUGGGAGCUAGCAGUCCUAGAACUACCCCCUUUGAAUUGUAUCUUGGAAAAACUGGGAUAUAAAGAAGCUCUUCUUCUCAAGUCACUGAUGGUUUAAAACAAUUUAAUGAUUUACACUUAUGGGUAAAAUUAAAACAUUUUUCUUCUCUCUCUGCCUUGUCCCUCCAAAGUUGGAGACACUUGGGUUCUGAACAGCCUUAUCAAGGUAAAAAAGACUGUGUCCCAACAUAUACAGAAAUCUCAAAGUAUACUGGGGAGCUCUAAAAGAAAAAUCCACCCAACUGAUGUCAGGCCUAUGGCAUCUAUCAUGUUUCACUGAGUAUUACAUUCUAGUUUUAUUAAUUAAGGUCUGUAUUUACUGACUCACUUCUGAGUUAGUUCCUUGUGGUUAUGUUACAUUGCUAAGAGGUUUAAUUAAGUUAUUAAAAAGGACACUCUGAGUUUGUUUCUAAAGUUUAUCCCAGUAACCAGUCUUUAAAUAAAGAUCAGAUGCUCCAGGAUCUACAACCAGAAGAUUAAUAGCAGGCUAUAGUCAUUUAACAAACUCAGUCAGAUGACCUGGAAAUAUCACUGGGCUAUACCUAAUUAAGUUCUUGACUUAAGGUCUUACUUGUGAUUUUACUCUUACUGCUAACUAUAUUGUUUUCUAUAUUGCCUGUUUCAAGAAGUGUUGUCCCUUACAUUAUCAAGUCUGUGAUGGAGCCACUGAUAUAAUGAUGGUGUGCAGUUCCAUAUAAAAUCCAUAAUUAUAAUGGUGUGACUCUGUAUAUGAAAAGAAGCAAGAGGGAAUAUUCUCCUGGACCAAGAGACUAGUGAGACAGGUGGGUCCAGAGAUUUUGCUACUCACAGGGCCUAAUACAGUAACAGCACAUUGAGUGGCCUAUCAGUGAAAUCUUCAACAGACCUGGUAAUGAGCUUUCCCAGCACUGUGGGACAAGAUGGUCAUGAAACGCCCCCAAACCAUGGUCAAACUCAUGGCCAUAAAGGGGCCCUGUGACUGGAAAUUGGCCCUUGCCAUCUGCCUCUACAAAGAUUAAAUCAUGGACACUACAGCUGCUGACCUUCGGCAUCCUCUGAAAGGAGUUCAGGGUGAAAAUCAGAGAUUAGACACUUGCUCUGUGCUCUGAAAAAAAAAUGGACAAAACAAGCCUUUGAAUAGUCAGAUAUUUUCAGGUAAAAAAAUUUUUGAGCCCAAAUUCUUGCAUUUUCUCAUACCUAGAAAAACUCUAUUUACAACUGUUAAUAGUAACAACUACUUUGGCUUAUAUGUUAAUACCACAAUAAGAGGCUAAAGCCUACUUGGACAAACUUAGACAACUAGCUAUGACCAUAGUGAAAGUGAAAGUCGCUCAGUCGUGUCCAACUGUUUGCAACCCCGUAGACUAACAGCCCGUGGAAUUCUCUAGGCCAGAAUACUGGAGUGGGUAACCUAUAAGUCUCCCUAAAACAGCUGUAUACAUAAGGGUUCAGACUCAUUCUUCUAAAAAGAAAUGGUAAGAUUUAUUUUGUCUGUUAAGGUUCAGGUUGUCAGUCUUUCAACUACUUCUAACUGGGUUUGUUAUACCCACAUUCAAAAUGUAUAUGAACAUGCCAAAUGGCUCCAUUCUUAUAAAUAGGGCAGCCCAAGUGUUGACUAUAUCUAAACCAGGAUCAAAGUUACUAGCAAAUGUAACCUGAUUCUUACUCUUGCUUGGACUGCUGAUUACAGUAAUUCUCUUACUGAUUUUUGGUCUUUGCCUUUUAAUCUACUUGUCUAGUUUGUUCUUUCUGAAGGAUACAACAGCUUCCCAUACAAAGUAACGGUGAUGCAGAGAUUCUGGUCACUCUUCAAAACUGGACUCCCCUGAUGUUCCACUCUGAUCGUAGAUAUAAUCUUGGUUUACAAGCUCUCCUUGGUGAAAAACUAUCUUGACUGUAAUACUUGUAAUCAUUCUGAUUUUGCUGUUUUUUCCUUACAUCUGUAACUGUGUAAUAAGAUUUGUUUCUAACCAUCUGAAAACAUUUAAAUUACAAAUGAUUGUUCAUGCUCCUACAAUUUCUACUGCCUCCUCUAGCUAUUACUUGGGAUCCUUGGAUCAGAAACCCUAAAUAAAGGGGCAAUGAGAAUACAUUGCUUCAACAACUUAGGGUCUGCCCUCCUCACCUGCAGGAAGCAGUUACUGACAGAUUUCUCUACCCCUUUCUCCUCAGCAAAAAUAUUCUCCUAAAAGAAAAAGGGGAGAAGGAGAGAGUUAAUUUAGGCAGGUUGAUAAGCAGUCCAAGCCUAAGGCCUCUUUAUGGAGGAGGUACACAUUCUUUCUUUUUCACAUUUUUCUGCCCUGGACAAAUAGGCCUUUGUAGGCAGCAGUAUCUCUUGUUCAAGGACAUGCCUCUUUUAGAGCUUUG
rnacentral:lncRNA from 1 species